rnacentral:rRNA from 1 species
UACGUAGGGUGCAAGCGUUGUCCGGAAUUAUUGGGCGUAAAGGGCUCGUAGGCGGUUUGUCGCGUUGUCCGUGAAAACUCACAACUCAAUUGUGGGCGUGCGGGCGAUACGGGCAGACUGGAGUACUGCAGGGGAGACUGGAAUUCCUGGUGUAGCGGUGGAAUGCGCAGAGUAUCAGGAGGAACACCGAUGGCGAAGGCAAUCCCCUGGGCCUGCACUGACGCUCAUGCACGAAGCGUGG